rnacentral:rRNA from 1 species
UACGUAGGGUGCAAGCGUUGUCCGGAAUUAUUGGGCGUAAAGAGCUCGUAGGCGGUUUGUUGCGUCGGCUGUGAAAACCUGAGGCUCAACCCUGGAACUGCAUUCGAUACUGCCUUGCUAGAGUACUGGAGAGGAGACUGGAAUUUACGGUGUAGCAGUGAAAUGCGUAGAUAUCGUAAGGAAGACCAGUGGCGAAGGCGAGUUCUGGACAGUUACUGACGCUGAGGCACGAAGGCCAGGGGAGCAAACGGG